UACGUAGGUGGCAAGCGUUGUCCGGAUUUACUGGGCGUAAAGGGCGUGCAGGCGGUCUGUUAAGUUCAGGGUGAAAGCUCCCGGCUCAACUGGGAGAGGUCCUUGGAUACUGGCAGACUUGAGGGAGGUAGAGGAGAGUGGAAUUCCCGGUGUAGUGGUGAAAUGCGUAGAUAUCGGGAGGAACACCAGUGGCGAAGGCGACUUCCUGGCCUGUUCUUGACGCUGAGGCGCGAAAGCUAGGGUAGCAAACGGG
rnacentral:rRNA from 1 species